rnacentral:lncRNA from 1 species
GCAGCGAUCACAGUAAGACGAGCUGUCAUCGCUCAGUGCAGCGGGCAGCGCAGGGACAUCAGCGCCCAUGUCGCCGUGCAAUGACCUCCCGCAGCCCCUGGCAAUGCCUGCGUCCCCGGCGGGUCUCCUCGCGCUAAGCCUUGCUGGCUUUGUAUCUGAGCUGUGCGAUAGCCUUUGCCCUCCCUCGCUCCUCUUCUCUGCCUGCAACGACAGCGGAACCUCUUCUCUCGCAGCAAAAAGACAAAACAGUAAGCAGCAAAUGUCCUAAAGAAGGGGUCAUGGAAAGUCAGAUUACUCACCGCAAAGAAAAACAUGGAAACAUUCAAACAAGAGAGGAUAAAGAAAUCCAUUGGACCAGAAACUUCACACCGGUGAAGCAGAAGCCAUCCAAGGAGUUGAGGCCCAUGCUGGGGGCCGUCACGCUGGGCCUCAU